rnacentral:SRP_RNA from 10 species
GCCGGGCGCGGUGGCGCGUGCCUGUAGUCCCAGCUACUCGGGAGGCUGAGGUGGGAGGAUCGCUUGAGCCCAGGAGUUCUGGGCUGUAGUGCGCUAUGCCGAUCGGGUGUCCGCACUAAGUUCGGCAUCAAUAUGGUGACCUCCCGGGAGCGGGGGACCACCAGGUUGCCUAAGGAGGGGUGAACCGGCCCAGGUCGGAAACGGAGCAGGUCAAAACUCCCGUGCUGAUCAGUAGUGGGAUCGCGCCUGUGAAUAGCCACUGCACUCCAGCCUGAGCAACAUAGCGAGACCCCGUCUCUUU